ensembl:lncRNA
GAGGCGGCCCCGGCCAAAGAAAAAAGGAAACGAAAGCGCAGCAGAAGCAGAUCCUCCUCUGUUUCAUCCACAUCAUCUUCUAGCAGUACAUCCACUUCUUCCUCCUCAUCACGCUCAUCAUCAAGGUCAUCUUCUUCCAGUGGUAGUAGAGAUUCUCCUAAGUCUAAGUCAAAGAAAAAGAAAAAGGAAAAACACAACAAAAAGAAAAGGAAAAAGGAGAACAAAAUGAAGAAAAAGAAGGAAAAGAAGAAAAGGAAAGAGAAAACUGGACCUGUCCAGCUUUCCAAGUUCUUCAAGAACAAAAAGAAGAAUGAAAACUACAGCAUGAUAACUGGAAAGAAAAUUAAGAUGAAAAUAAAAAAGACUAAGGAAGAUAUAGAGAGAGACCGGAACCGUGCCCAGCUCCUGGAAUUUCUGAACUCUGCCUUGUAAUGGGAAGAGUCCUCACCAAGGACUGGUAGAUGUAUCAAGCCAGCCAUCAUCCUAGCAGAACACUAAGGAGAAACUCAGGGAAAAGGACACCAAGUUGGACAAGACCAGACCCUCCUACUGAGAAGAAAAUUGGGAUGUCCUUUCUUAAUGGCAAAACACAGAGUAGCUAAUAACUUGUUAAAGGAGAUCCAUGUCCUCCUUUUGAGAUCCUAAGGUAAUAACCAAGCUGUGGUGUUUUAGAAAAGCCCGAGUGUGUGUUGUUCACAGUGAUAAGAAAUUACACACUGAAGUCCAGCAAUGUAAUUUCUGUCUUAACUGCAUGCAGAAUGCACUCUUCAUUUCAAUGUCUUAAUUUUUCUAGUAGUUUUAAGCAGAGUAUUUGUAAAUGUUUAUUUGAAAGAUGAGGUGUUUAUUUUAUGUAUAUUUUUUUCUGGUAGUGGUUAUGGAUAUCAUACAGAACAAACUGACCUUUGUAAAUAGAACAUCCUUUCACAUAAAUGAUUUCUUUUGAAAGUCCAUUCACUAAUAUGUUAUUUUCUUUCAGAAUUUGAGAUGUGAUGUUUCUCUGGACAGUUUAUUGCUCUAUCUCUUUAGAAAGUGUAACAGCAAAAUACUCUAGAGCAGUAAUGGUAGCAAAUUAUUUUUAUUCUAAAAUAGAAGCAGGAAAGGUCUCUGGUUUUCUUUAUCUGAAUCAGUUGUUCAGUUCAUAAUAGAUGGUUUAAACACCCCCUCCCCGCCCCCCCAUCUGGAGUUGCAGUUCCUAGACUGAAAGCUCUGGAGUUGUGGCCUGCUUUUCUGAUCCUGUGUAUCAAGUCUUUCUCUCUUUGAAGUGCAGCGAGGCAUGUGCCAUCGACAUACCUUAGGCUGAUGGAGAAAGAGCUGUGGAAUGGUGCUGAGACAGGCAGUGACAGUGACUUCACGGGUCUGCUGACAGUCCCUAUGAGAUGAGACAGGUCUGGACUGGCAGCAGGAGCCCAGCACAGCUUGUGGGUGUGCCAGCUGUGGUAAUUUGCUCAGUGCCUGCACUCCUCCUUCCACACUUGGCUCUUGGUUACCCAGCAGGUCCCUCUGUACAUAACCCUGCUGCGGAGUUCACUGGAAUCACUCGUGAAGCCGGUGCUCCUCAGGAGCUGCAGUUCAGGAAUGCCUGAAGGAAGGACUCAAGGGGAGUUGACUUUGACAAAAACAUUAAGUGUACAGCAGUCAGAGCGGGGAGAGUUCAUUAAAGAACAAAUGGAAAACUCUGUCUGUGUCUGCUACGGUGUUUUGAAGUAAGCCUGAAGAUUUGUACCAUUGCUCAAGGGAUAGUUUUAUAACUGUUUUGAUGUGUGAAACCUUCUGAAGAUGCUAGAAUCCUCUCCUUUCUCUAGUUUUCUUUUGUUGUGAAGCAUUUUGUAGUUGUUGCAGAGAUGUAACUCUUUAGAGACUAAAGCCCUGAUCCAGCACAGAAACUCCAUACAUCCUUAUGAACAUAAAACUUGCAAAAACAUAGGUAAGAAAUGGAGUUUCCUUGACUUUUAAUCCAACAAUCGAAAGUUGUUUUUUUUUAAAUAACUGAUCUGAAAUGUCAAUGGAGGAAAACCCCAACCAAACAAGAAAACCCCUUUUAUUUAUCAUGGGGAUUAUGCUUUGAUUUAUGCUACUUUGGUAUUUUCUAGCUAGUGAUGUCAAAGUGUCUUGCCCAGAUAAGCAGCUUUUAUCUCUGGACUUUACAUAACAAGGUUAAUCCCAAACACACUCUUAGCAGACAGCAUCCCUCCCAUUCCCUAGGUCAUGUUUUAUGUAAAGAUAGUGUAAUUUUGGAAAACUUGGUGUGGGGUAGGGAGUAGAAUUUUGGAAGAAGUAAAGAAAAUAGCAGCGGGAAACCCAGAGAUCACAGUUGUAAAGAACUGCCUUGGUUGGAAUGUUCAUAUUUAAUUUAAAUAAUUUGCUUUUUGUUGCCUUGGUCAAGGUCAUAAAAACUCCUGCCCUGUUCCUCAUUAGUAGGGAAAAGGCAAAGGGCCUUUAGUAAUAUGAUGUGGACUCUUCUUCCUUUAGGGUUUUGGUAGUUGUCUCUCACGGUACAAAAAGGAAUCAGACUAUUUUUUCUUACAAAAAAAAAAACAACUUUUUUUUGGUGUGUGUUCAGGACAGAGAAAUUUUCUGUUUAUUUUUCUUGACAUGCUGGGUAUGCUUUGCUGAUGCUUUAAAAUAUUUCUGUGCCAGCAUUUACUCCUAAGCUAUAUAAUUUCUUCUACAAAGCCAAAUUGCUUAAACUUCAGGGCAGUGAUUCUGCUUUAUUUUCUCCUGCCCAGUCAGUUACAAGUGCACUCUGAAACUUCCCAGCAGUUGCUGCUUUUGUAAGCCUCUUUUUCUGUUCUACCCACCUCCAUGUAGAUUCUCAGGUUUCUAAAGAGGCUUGAGUCAUGUUGAAUCCUUCCCUUCUCCAUCUUUCCCCACAAGCACCGAGACCCUGUGCAUCUCCUUGGGACUGAGUAUCUGCUGUUGGGUAAAGGCCAACAGAUUCCAGUCUUCCCUAGUGAGCACAGGCCCUUACAGCCAGAAUAAUUUUCCAUGCCUUGCACCCUCAGGGAAGAAGUUCAUUUCACUGACCUUUUGGCUAAAGCUUGGCUUCUUACUACUGCUUCAGAUCCCUGUAGUGGCACCACAGACUGAGCCAGAUGAGAAGGUUACAGCAGUAAGAAUGUGGUGAAAAUCAGGCUGAGAAAUUUGCAUGAGGGAACAGUGAAACAGUGUGGGAUGUUGACCUGAUUCACACAUGGCUGAUAGACUUGCUGCCAGGUCUGCCAAGAAGUGCAUGUCGUGGGCAAGGGUGAAGGCUGGAACAACAGAGCAGUGGAAAAGGUGAGGCAGGGGUGGAAGGAGAAGGCUGCUGUCAGAAGUCAUGGGGUGAGGCAGAGGUCAGGUGAUGAGGCAGGGCCUGCAGAAGCUUGCCUGGCUGGGCAAGUUGAGGUUCUUCCUAAGAUGCUGAAUAAUAGAAGUCUUUUAGAUGUGAAACCUGCCUUUUGGAUGAGAGUGUGUAUGUGUGACAUUCUUCCCUAUCACGCUCACCUUCUCCGUUCUGCACCAUUUUCCAUUCUGAGAAUCGUGCAGAACUCAACUGAGUUUUUUUAGCAGCAGAAUUUUCAGAAGCAGAAGUCACUGUCAUGGAAGAAGAUGGAUACAUUCUCUGACCUGCUGCUGCCAUGCCCUUCUUCCUUGGCACUGUUUAAAAGAGUCUAUCCCAGCCAGUUCUUGUGGGCAGUGCAAUCCUUUGUUACUCAUUUCCUUUAGAGUUGGCGUGAACUUCACUCUUUUGCCCCCACAAAAACGUAGCAGAGAUGAAAAGCUGAGGAAAUAUUGAUAAAUGCCACUUUGACUUGGAAAUAUCUUACUCCAUAGAACUAAGGUGUCUCAUGCUGCAAAGCUGAGCAUUGCAGAGCAGAGCUGAGCUCUGCAGAGCUGACCUGGGUUACCAUUUUGGUAACAGGUCAAUAUUCAGUAUGGUUGAACUUGGGUAGGUUGUGCUGUUUGGAUGUACUUGGGGUUUCAUGCUGCAGGAAUGUAUCAUUCCCAGUCAUCCUCUGCAGCAGGAAAAACUGAGUGAGCUCUACACACAGGGGAAGAGCAGAGGUCAGAAGGGCUGAAGUGACUUGCCCUGGUCACUUGCUGAACCUUUCCUGAUCUGGACCCGGGCCUUGAUGGCUGGUGGAGCUCUGAUGUCCUUCCAUGUGUUGAACACCUUCCUCUUAGUCUUUGCUGUGUGUAUUUAGAAACAAGUUUCCAAAGUUCUGGUUCAACACUCAAGGCUGGGACCUCCACUGUCAUUUGAGGACUGUGGAAUGGCUGGAUUUUAUGUCAUAGUGGGUUUUCCUGAAGGUAUGAGAUCCUGGGCACACUUGAGAAUUCUCCAGUUUGCACUUGGUUAUAUUUCAAGCUGUAGGGUGAUGAGUUUUUGAGGACAUGCUUCUUAAAAUUAUUGGCAAGCACCCAUCUACCUAGUUCCAUCUCCGGACAAAAUUAAUCAUCAAAACUACUGUCCAGUGCAGAGACUGAGAUUUAUUUGCCUGUUGGCAACAGGUGUUUUUUUCUCCCUGCCUGUUAAUUUCAGUCCUAAAUUGUGCUUCAGGAGCAUGACUGAUGUAGUGUUGUCUGAGGGACAAGCAGGACAUGGUGCUGAGGGGUCCAAGGAAGCCUCUGGAGAGCCCUUUGGGGCAGGCUGAAGAACAUCAUUGCCACCCAGCCUGAGAGGCACCGUGGUCAUGGUGGCAGCUGCUCCCAUGGCAGCGUGCUGGCCACUGGUGCCAUCUUCCUCUCAGGCACUGAACACAGGGCUAACAUCACUUGUGUUCACUUUGCUCUCCAUUCGUGGGCUGCUCUAGGGGUGACAGAACAGUGCUGUGACAGUGAGGAGUCUGCAUUUGUCCCGAGAGGCCUGCUUGGAAGCUGCUGCCUGUUCCCUGCUUGGUCGGUGCUGGAAUAUCUGCCGGUAGGUGGCAAUGCUGUCCAGCUGGAAUGUCACAGGAAUCUUUUUUUUUUUUUUUUUUUUUUUUUUUAACCUUUGGACAUUGGCUGUGCACUUUCUUAUUCUGAAACCCUAUAAUUAGCUUGCAAAUUUCUAAUUAUGGUUGUUUAUGGGAACAUGUGUUACUGCAGUCCUAUGAAUUUAAUCCACUCUUUGUUCCUUUCUUGCCCUUGGCUGUGCUGAGGACAGACAAUAGUCUCUUCUGCUGGUGCCUGUGUGCCAAAGGCAGAAGGAGGCCUUUAACUUCUGAAGGCUGAAUUCAACAGGAGCAGGUUGCUGAGAGCCAGCAGGGGCCUGGAAAGUGCACCACCCUGUGUGGGGCUGUUGAGUUCUCCAGAAACUGCAUUCUACUCCAUCUCCUAAAUACCAGUGCCAGAAUACAGAAAGAAAACUCUCCAACGAAAGAAGUAUUUCAGUGUCACUGCUUCAUAACACAUCAGGUUAUUUAAAUAGUCUUCAGACCAAAUUAAGUGCAAUCUGUUGCUGUAAGCCACUUGACACUGGAAAGAAUGAGGCUGGAAAAGUAUUGCAGAUGGACUGUGACCUGAUAGAGGCCUCUGAGGAUACAGCAUUGUGAACACUAAACAGAUGUAAUAGUAAUUACAUUCUGACAGCAGAUACUCUGAUGUCAAAAACACAGAAGCUCUUUUCCUCACUUUGGUGUCUCUGCUCCUGGGUUAGAUUACAUUGAUUUGGUAAAGGCAGCAUGUGUCUGUGGCUAAAAUAUAGAGGUAAGAUGCUAUAAUUCUUGGGAUAAUCCUAGCCAGGACCCUAAUAAUGUAUAAUAUUAUAAAGUGUCCAGUGACAGUACAUACAGUGUGUUCUUGCAGACCUCUUUCUUACCUUUCUGUUGUGUUUUUUAAGAUGUCAUCUGUGAGGAUUUUCCCUUUGUCUGAGAAUAUCUUUGUGCAGGAAAUGCGCAGAAAAUACCUGAUAGUCAUUGGGAGACCUGGGCCCAAGACCCAGCACUCAGGGCCAGCAGAGCAUCUUUCUGAUGUAAACCAGCUUGAGACACAGCUUGUGUGACCAUGCAGAGGGAACAAGAGGUCCCUUGUGCCAACAGCCCCCACACAGACAGCAGUACCAGGGAAAGGCAGGCACUGAAAUGAUGAUGUCUCUGCCUGGCACAGGUGGGUGGAACUGAGGGAUAGCCCUUCUUCUAUUGCAGGGCACAACCAAGAAGGCUGUGACUUGUACAGUUCUUCCAAGAAUGCUUUUUGGGCAAAACUACAGUGCCAUAUCCUUUAGCAGGGAGGUGCAGCAUGACACAGGAAUAUCAGAGUGGCCAUUCAGUCAAACUGUAGUUUUCCUUCUGGGAGAGGCCUAUGGCAGUGUCUGGGGGAAGUCGUGUAAGCAACAACACAGAUUUGCUUGUCCACAGCUUCUGGCAAGGAGUAACUCUGUGUUGUAGGGUGUGUCUAGAGCACUGUGGUUUAUUUUACUAACCCCCUGUACACAGUUCCCUUUUGGAACCACUCAUCUGUCUGAUGUGCAGAAUGUGCUAAGCAAUGCAAUUCAUGCUUCAGUAAUACCUAACGUGGGGGAAAAGAUGGUUCCCUUUUGUUUAAAAUGCAUGCUUUGUGUAUAGGAUGCUUAGCCCAGGGAGUCCUGAGACAUCUGGGGCCAUCUGCUGAUAUUAAAGUGUUCCAGUACACAGGAUCAAGUAUGGAAUCAAUAGAAUGACUCAAAAGUAUCUGGAGACAAAACACCCAUUUUGUCUCUCAUAUCAUCUCGUUUUGUGGUAAUACUGGUUAAUGUAAGACGUGCUCAGAAGCUCGUUGAUGUUGAUGAAGACUUCGAUUCAAGGUUGUAUCUGCAGGCCAUGCCGCUUCAGAGAACUUCAGACCUUUGCAAUUGCU